rnacentral:rRNA from 1 species
GACGAACCGUGCGAACGUUAUUCGGAAUCACUGGCUUAAAGCGCGUGUAGGCGGGUCGGGACGUCGGUCGCUGAAAUCCCCCGGCUCAACCGGGGAAGGGGCGCCGAUACGGCCGGCCUCGAGGGACGUAGGGGGGGGCUGGAACUUCCGGUGGAGCGGUGAAAUGCGUUGAGAUCGGAAGGAACGCCCGUGGCGAAAGCGAGCCCCUGGACGUCUACUGACGCUGAGACGCGAAAAGCCAGGGGGAGCGAAACGGG